rnacentral:rRNA from 1 species
UACGUAGGGGGCGAGCGUUGUCCGGAGUUACUGGCGUAAAGCGCACGCAGGCGGUCUGUUAAGUUUGGAGUGACAGUUGGUGGCUUAACUGCCAAAGUGCUUCGAAAACUGACAGACUUGAGGGCUUCAGAGGGACACGGAAUUCCGGGUGGAGUGGUGAAAUGCGUAGAGAUCCGGAGGAACACCAAAGGCGAAGGCAGUGUCCUGGGGAGUACCUGAC